UUGUUUCCUGUUUGCAAUUAUUUCAAGUGGUGCUUUACUAACCCCCUUGAUUCCCCCUUUCGAUUUGAUCUAUCAGCAUAUAUUUAUAUGCAUAUAGCUUUGCACUUGAAACCAGCGGAAAAAAACGAUGCGUUUUAAAUUUCCAUUAAAAACGAUUUUCUAGAGUAGGAACUUCGUUCUCAAGAAGUGAAUUUGAGAAGCCCGGAAUGUCUGACUGUGUGAGUUUUCUUUUUCACAAAUUUUUUGUUUAUUUUUGAAUAUUUUAUUUGACAAAGCGGAAGGUCUUCAAAUUAUUUAUAUAUUUUUUCACGCGCCAAAUGUUUCCUCGGGCUUACUGCCUUAUUAGCCAAGGAAGGCAAUGUUUAGUCAACAAUAUAAAUUGUGGUUGUUUUGCAAUUGGCACUGGAAAAAAUAAGUGUAGUUACUUAGCCUUGGGUUUAUGCAGCACACAGCUACUUUUCCAUUUAGGAGCCAAUACAAGUGGGUGGAUCUCUGGGUCUCUGCACAACAUAUAUCCCCAAUAUAAAUCGUUAUCUGUCGCCGAUUCGUCAUGCGUGUCAAGGCUGUGGGGCAAAGUGCGUGAAACUUCUUAAAAGUUAAUCGGACAAGAGUGUGCGUGGAAAAGCUGACAAAACACAAAUGUGAUAAAAGCCAGCAAAUGCUUAACCCUCCAUCGCCUAUCUGGCCCUCUCUUUUUUUCCCAUAUUCCUUCGCCUUCUGGGCGCGUGGGAAAAUAGAAACUCAACCGCAGAGUUUUAUUUCGUUUUGUUAUUUUGCUCGUGUUUUUGUUGAGUUUCUUGUUGCUACAGCAAGUAAGAUAAAAUGGAAACAAAACGACGGAAAACAUCGUUCUAGCUGGCAAAAAAGGGUAUACGAACUCUGGAUACUCUCUGCACUUAAAAUCCUAAGACACACACUUUACAGAAAGUGGUGCCAAUUUAAGGGAAAGCCCAAUUCUGAGAAUAUCUAAAUACUUUAUAAUUAAUGCGCUUCAUCAACCGCUGGCAUAUUCUUAGUAGCUAAUUGGAUUUAUAAAAAGUCUCAUAAGCUCAGUUUUCAGGCAAUAAAUGCUGCAAUCUCACUUUUAAACUGUAUUCGAUAUGAAUUUUUCUAAUUAAAUUUGGGAACUUGUCUGCUACUUUUUUGUCACGUGUCACGAGCCACGAUCAACCGAUCAAAACCCGGAAGAGCGGUGUGUUGGGUGGUUUUUUUUCGGUGGUUCCAGUGGUUCCAGUGGUUUCAGUGGUGCUAUUACUCUGGGCAGGUGCUAGCGAUCCGGACUGGUUGAGAUCGGUUUGAUUGUUUGGACAUUUUCAUACACUCGUCAUGCGUCAUCGAUCGCCAGUUUUUACACAAGAAAAAAAUUACAGAUACUCACCUGUCCGAUCGAGUAAAAAUUUUUAUAUAUGUAAGUAAUUUUACUUCUAUGUAAUCAUCGCUUUCAUUAAUUUUUAACAUAGCAUUCAAUUUAUUUUCUUUAUUUCUUAAUUUGCAAGUGCCCAAAUUGUUUCACUGUGUACGUUUUGAAGGGCUGCGAACCGGAAUGAACCAAUAGGCCACACUUCACGCUCCACACUCAAUUGAUCAACUGCCGCGUUGAAUGGAUUGGCUUAAUAUUAAGAAACAUAAUACAUUUUUUGUGGCAGUAUCAAGGAAUGUGUGAGCUGUGAACACUGUGGCUUAUCCGAAGUUUGUACGCAAAAACAGGGCCUAAAUAAAAUUCAAAAAUAUCUUUGAAUCUGUAUGGUUAUGGGUUUAUUCGAUAACAACUUCAAUUUGAAACUCCUCAAGUUUCUUCUGUCGAGUGGGUCCUUUUUUCUCUUUAUUUUGCCCUGUGCCACUUGUGUGUGCACCACUUUUUGGGCACUUUUCCCCGGAGAUCACAAGUGCACGGCUGUCCAGGGAAUGGGGAAAAUUUACUUUUUUCCCUACCGAAUUCGAACCAUCAGCGAUUAAGGGAAAAAAGAAGUGGAGCGUACAGGAAAAACAAUACUCCGUGAAAGGAUCCCCCAAAUCGAGUUUGCUAAGUAAUUGUGGAAUUAUUUGAUUAACAUCAAUGUGAUGAAUACAUUUUUUACAGAAAAGACAAAUAUCUUUCGAAAAGAUAGUAUUGUUUCUACUAACAAAUAUUUUUGAUCACAAAUAUAUAGUAACUAGUAUAGUAUAGUACUAUUCGUUAUCUUUUUUUAAUAACAAAGCCGGUUAUCUGGAAAAAUCUUCACGUUCCUGGAGAACGAUUUUCGCCAUAAAUUUUUCGCCCCGGCCACUUCCUUUUUGCGGGCCAUUUUCGUUUUCAUUUCCAAUUGCGAUGCCAAUACCGAAUUCCCGACUCAGACGCACAUUAACCUGGCCCACGAAGUGACCUUGAACCUGCCGUGACCUUGCAGCCCAGCAAAGGAUAAAUAUGGCAACAAAAAAUACAAGGAAAAAGACAUUAGAAAUCCGAAAGGAGCGAGUAGGAUGCCUGUCUGAAAUCGCAGAAUCCUUUGGAGGUUUUCUUGAUUGCGCAGGACACGUUGAAGAGGAUAACGAUGAUGGUGGCGGAGAUGGAGAUGUGGAAGUGUAUGUCUGGCUCACUACGACCCCCCCCCACUUUUCCGCCCCGAAGGCGGCCCCUAUUUUCUCGACCCAACCCUCACACACUUCCCCAUUUGCGGUUGAAUGUCCUUCUGCCCGUCUGACAAGUUUGUUUUGCUUUUCGCCCGGGUUUCAUUAUCGUUUUGAAGGUCGCAGACAGUGCCGCCACGCCCCCAAACCACAGCCGCACACCCUCAAAUGCGCCACGCCCAUCCAGCCGUGUGGAAAUUUGUGCCAAAUACGCAGACGGCAGCUAAUGGCAAGGAAAAACAAAAAAUAAAUAAGGGAUAAGGAUAGAGGAUGUUCUGGGAAGAAAACAUCCGCAGAUAGACAGUAAGAUAAAAACGUGCACACAUAAGUACGUAAAUGAAGUAGGAGACAAAACCCUAUCAACAAGUUUAAUUAUUUCUAGCUCCUUUCAACAUAUUAUUAACUGACAUUUAUUAAAUUUCUCAAAAAUGGUAGUUAGUUAAUAAAAUUAGUUUACAUUUUGAUAAAAUAAAAAAAAAAAGCUGGUAACUGAAAUGUAUAAUUGAAGUUGAAGCUGGAGUGGGAAAAUCAUUAAAAGGUCGCACUCAUUUCAAUUCCUGGCUGUGCACUGUGCAAAACAUAAUGUGUGUUUGGGGACAGGAAUGGGGACGUAGGAAAGGUGAAAGUAAAAGUGAAAAUUGGGUGGGCAUUGGGGAUGCAUAAAAAGGUGUCGAGGGAUACAAGGCAAACGCCUCCCAAAAAGUAAACUUAAAUGCGAUACAUUAUUCAUGUAAUUUCUGUCCGACAGCGAGAAUCAACCUUCAAUUUUAGUCCGACAGUUAAAUGGUUACAAGAAUACAUGUUACAUACAUAUGUACAUAAACUUGUUCUAAAAAAUACAUAUUUUAGCAAGUAAGUUUUAAUUCCAUUAGGUUUCAACAUAUAUUCGAAAAUACAUGUAUAAUAUAACAUCAAAAAUUUCUUACCUUUACCCCGUCAACAUUUCUUAGCAACAGUGUUUCGGCAACAUUCACUUUCGUCUUGGCCACAGUGUUGCUGCAACAAAAAGCGAAAAGAAAAACUCACUCAAUUUGUUCUCUUGUGCUCGUAACUCUUCGAUUUGUUUUGAGUGCUGCGCCUGUUUUGCUUUUGCAUUGUUUUGAUUUUUUUUGUGUGCCGUUAUAAAAGCGCCACGCUGUACUUUUUUGCGUUUUACGCUCUUGGCGAAUUUGUUGUGUGAGCAUGUGAGUGUGUGUGAGCGCAACUGUACCGGCGUCUUCUUUCUUCGGAGCUUUUUUGUUGUUUUUGCAGCUGCCGUUUUCUUGCCUUUUCUGUCUUCGCCUUCCUUUAUUUUUUUUGUCUUUACACCUCUGGGCGUAAAUCCACAUGCAAAAUGUGUCAACGGCGAAGAAAAUCGACAGCGAAGAUAAAGAUAAAGAGGAAGAAGACAACGAAGCCAUCUGUAAGAAAAGAACAUAAAUCAAAGGGGAAUAGGAGUCAAAUAGAAUGACGAGAAUAGAGUUGUAACGAACAAUUAGCAUUAAAAAUGAGAAACUGGACUGCCAAACCUAACACAUAUCUAAGUAUGAACAUACAUAUGUAUGUAUGUAUGUAUUAAAUAAGUAGAUCCAUAAAAGUACAUACAUACUUCAUAAACUUAUUGAACAUCCCUUUCCUCUUUUCAAAUUCCUAGAUUAUUAAAGAAGUGUUUGGUCCAAAAAAUCAAUGAUAAAUAGAAUAAAUACUUCUAUUUAUAUCAGAUUGGAAAUCAUUCACGAUAAUCCUCAAAUUACGAUCGUGGCCUUCAAGUGUGUGUUCAAUUACGCCUAUGAAUCAGUUGUGCCAAAAUACUCGAGUAUUGAGCUCCUCCAAUAAUUUAUAAUUGAAGGUUUGCACAUGCGUUAUCUUCUGAUACGAAAGGCGUCUAAAUAGUUAGCGCCAAAAAGCGGUAAUGGCAAAUAAAUAAUAUAAACAUGUAGGUACACCUUGCAAAAACCGAGUUUAGAUGCAUAUUUAAGUGAAAACUAGCCUAAUAAUAUUAUAAUAUAAUAUUAUAUAUAUAUGUAAUCCCAUACCUCUUUAUUUAAGUGAAAACUAGCCUUAUAAUAUUACUGAAACGUAUGUAAUAAAAAUACUCACAAUUCCAAUAGCACUUAAAAAAAAAAUUGUUAUUUUACGCAGUAUUCACGUAGUAAAAUCCCACUACUAAACGUAACGUAGCGGAGAAAAAUAAGAAGCAGGAGAUAGCGACUUUGUUGCAAAAGGAAGACUAGUGCGCAAUGCAAUUUAAGAUUAUUUGCGUUAUCAAUGGGGGGCGAUAGUUUCUGGCCUACGGCGAGCAUAACUGGCACUCGAGGCACCCCGGCUUUAUCGCAUUUGAAUUGCCAAUACAAUUACGCCGAGUACACCUGUCGACACCGGCGUCAAAGUUACAUUGUUGCUGCACGUGUAGACCGUUAAAUGCCAAGUCAACUGCGCCUGGGGAUGGGAUGAACCUCAAUCCAGAAUUAGCAAUACUGUCGAUAAGAUCGUACAGCCGUAUGUACACAUUUAUGUAACUUGCUUACAUACAUACAUAAAUGAAGCUACACUGUGGUAUCCACAUGUACAUACAUCUUAAGUUGCUUUGGUGUUUCUUCGCCUUCCACGCAUUCUUUCUUAUCUUUUUCUAAUCUAUCGACACAUUAAUUCCGAUAUUUUCGAUAACUGUCGAUUCAGGCGACUCGGUGUCGUCACUGUCAUCGCCUAUCAUUUUUACGAGCCCGACGCGAGGUUAUUCGGUUACGUUACGUCGAUUUUUUGAAAGCUUGGCAAAUUCUGGACAAACUUGAUAUGGGAACUCAGCACGGCAGGCACUUGUUGCCAUUAUUUACGCAGUUGUUUUAUCUCCCCAUGCACACUUUCCAUUUUAGCGCGAACGUAAACGGUGCAGAAAGUAGUGUAGUAUUAUUACACAAAACAAGCAGCACACGUAAAAAAGAAUUGCGCAAACAUCUUAAUACGAAAAUAUUUCAAAAUUUAUUUAAAUCGAACUUCGACAGCGGAAGAAUGCAGCGCGAAAAAAAGCUCACAAAAUGCGCGCCAAUUUCUUUUUGUCUGUAACGCAGUUGUACCCUGUAGGAGAAGGAGGGUAUUGGCACUGGCAGGGAACUUUUGUUUGUGGUGCUCAUAAAUACUUAAGUGGAAAUACCCGUUGCGUUACUUAAUUGGCAUUGUGCUGACAGGAGCAUUUAACAAUAAUAAUUAAAUAAUAAUUUCAAGUGCAAAUUGCAGAGUAGUUCUUGGGCGAGUUUUCAACUGGAAUUUUCCUGCUGGGUCGCUGGUUGCGAAAUCAAAACAAAAUCCGUAGCGUGCAAAGGUGCGAAAGAGAGGGCAGAUGCACGCGCAAAAAAGGUGCAAUGGAAAUUGGUGCAAUGGAAAGCGAAACGUAACGAAAUCAGCAGGGUGACGAAAGCGGGAAGAACUUUGCGUCGCAACCACCUGAUGAUUUAAUAGUCGCAGAAGGGCGCAAAAUUCCAUCACUUGUUUCUUUCGAAUUCAUACAUACAUAUGUAUGCACAUAAGUACAUACAUGCAUACAUAUGUGUGCAUGUGUUACAUGUAUUGUCGCAUGUAGUGUAAUACGCAAUAAAAAUGCACCGUUAGUGAUUUACCUACAUACUUUAUAAGUGUUCAAAAAUAAACGUUUUAAGAAUAUUGCUGGAAAA